rnacentral:rRNA from 1 species
AGCAGCCGCGGUAAUUCCAGCUCCAAUAGCGUAUAUUAAAGUUGUUGCAGUUAAAAAGCUCGUAGUUGAAUUUCGGGGUUAGUAGGUUGGUCAUGCCUCUGGUAUGUACUGGUCUCACUGAUUCCUCCUUCCUGAUGAGCCGUAAUGCCAUUAAUUUGGUGUUGCGGGGAAUUUGGACUGUUACUUUGAAAAAAUUAGAGUGUUUAAAGCAAGCUAACGCUUGAAUACAUUAGCAUGGAAUAAUGAAAUAGGACGUUCGAUCCUAUUUUGUUGGUUUCUGGGAUUGACGUAAUGAUUAAUAGGGAUAGUUGGGGGCAUUAGUAUUCAAUUGUCAGAGGUGAAAUUCUUGGAUUUAUUGAAGACUAACUACUGCGAAAGCAUUUGCCAAGGAUGUUUUCCUAUUAAUCAAGAACGAAAGUUAGGGGAUCGAAGACGAUCAGAUACCGUCGUAGUCUUAACCAUAAACUAUGCCGACUAGGGAUCGGAUGUAGUUAGUUUUAAUUUUUAAUUAGUACUCUAC